UAUUAUAUGAAAAUCUAUGGACUGGGCACAGUGGCUCAUGCCUGUAAUUCCAACACUUCGGGAGACCAAGGCAGACAGAUCACUUGAGGUCAGGAGUUGGAGACCAGCCUGGCCAACAUGGCAAAACCCCAUCUCUACUAAAAAUACAAAAAUUAGCUGGGUGUGGUGGUGGUGCGUGCCUGUAAUCCCAGCUACUCAGGAGACUGAGGCAAGAGAAUCGCUUGGACCCGGGAGGUGGAGGUUGCACUGAGCCAAGAUCAUGCCACUGCAUUCCAGCCUGGGCAACAGAGCAAGACUCUGUCUCAAAAGAAAACGUGAAAGUUUAGUACUAGGACUAUUAAAUUGAAUAAGUGGUUAAUAAUCUUCCCAUUACAAAAAUACAUAGUCAGAUGAUUUGGCAGGCUUGUCUACCAAACUUUCAAGCAACAAAUCAUCUGUUUAUACAAAUUCUUCUGGGCAUUGAAGAAAGAGGGACUACUUCAGCUCAUCUUGAGAGGGUAACGUAACCCUGCUAAAUCCAGAGACGCACAUUACCAAAACAAAAUCACGGGUCUACUACAU
ensembl:lncRNA novel transcript, sense overlapping TULP4